rnacentral:rRNA from 1 species
AUUGAACGCUGGCGGCAGGCCUAACGCAUGCAAGUCGAGCGGUAGAGAGAAGCUUGCUUCUCUUGAGAGCGGCGGACGGGUGAGUAAUGCCUAGGAAUCUGCCUGGUAGUGGGGGAUAACGUUCGGAAACGGACGCUAAUACCGCAUACGUCCUACGGGAGAAAGCAGGGGACCUUCGGGCCUUGCGCUAUCAGAUGAGCCUAGGUCGGAUUAGCUAGUUGGUGGGGUAAUGGCUCACCAAGGCGACGAUCCGUAACUGGUCUGAGAGGAUGAUCAGUCACACUGGAACUGAGACACGGUCCAGACUCCUACGGGGGGCAGCAGUGGGGAAUAUUGGACAAUGGGCGAAAGCCUGAUCCAGCCAUGCCGCGUGUGUGAAGAAGGUCUUCGGAUUGUAAAGCACUUUAAGUUGGGAGGAAGGGCAGUAAAUUAAUACUUUGCUGUUUUGACGUUACCGACAGAAUAAGCACCGGCUAACUCUGUGCCAGCAGCCGCAGUAA